AGUGAACGCUGGCGGCGUGCUUAACACAUGCAAGUCGAACGGAUCAAAGUAGCUUGCUAUUUUGGUUAGUGGCGCACGGGUGAGUAAUGUAUAGCUAACCUGCCCUUUAGUGGGGGACAACAGUUGGAAACGACUGCUAAUACCCCAUACUCCUUCUUGCCAAAAGGUGAGUCGGGAAAGAUUUAUUGCUAAAGGAUGGGGCUUUAUUGUAUCAGCUAGUUGGUGGGGUAGCGGCCUACCAAGGCUAUGACGCAUACCUGGUCUGAGAGGAUGAUCAGGCACACUGGAACUGAGACACGGUCCAGACUCCUACGGGAGGCAGCAGUGGGGAAUAUUGCACAAUGGAGGAAACUCUGAUGCAGCAACGCUGCGUGGAGGAUGACGCAUUUCGGUGUGUAAACUCCUUUUAUAAGGGAAGAUAAUGACGGUACCUUAUGAAUAAGCACCGGCUAACUCCGUGCCAGCAGCCGCGGUAAAGUCAC
rnacentral:rRNA from 1 species